UACGUAGGGGGCUAGCGUUGUCCGGAUUUAUUGGGCGUAAAGAGCGUGUAGGCGGCCAGAUAGGUCCGUUGUGAAAACCCGAGGCUUAACCUCGGGACGUCGAUGGAAACCAUCUGGCUAGAGUCCGGAAGAGGAGAGUGGAAUUCCUGGUGUAGCGGUGAAAUGCGUAGAUAUCGGGAGGAACACCUGUGGCGAAAGCGGCGCACUGGACCACAACUGACGCUGAGGCGCGAAAGCUAGGGGAGCAAACAGG
rnacentral:rRNA from 1 species